rnacentral:rRNA from 1 species
GACGAACGCUGGCGGCGUGCUUAACACAUGCAAGUCGAACGGAAAGGCCCUGCUUUUGUGGGGUGCUCGAGUGGCGAACGGGUGAGUAACACGUGAGUAACCUGCCCUUGACUUUGGGAUAACUUCAGGAAACCGGGGCUAAUACCGGAUAGGAGCUCCUGCUGCAUGGUGGGGGUUGGAAAGUUUCGGCGGUUGGGGAUGGACUCGCGGCUUAUCAGCUUGUUGGUGGGGUAGUGGCUUACCAAGGCUUUGACGGGUAGCCGGCCUGAGAGGGUGACCGGCCACAUUGGGACUGAGAUACGGGCCAGACUCCUACGGGAGGCAGCAGUGGGGAAUAUUGCACGAUGGGCGGAAGCCUGAUGCAGCAACGCCGCGUGCGGGAUGACGGCCUUCGGGUUGUAAACCGCUUUCGCCUGUGACGAAGCGUGAGUGACGGUAAUGGGUAAAGAAGCACCGGCUAACUACGUG